rnacentral:rRNA from 1 species
UACGAAGGGGGCUAGCGUUGCUCGGAAUCACUGGGCGUAAAGGGCGCGUAGGCGGCCGAUCAAGUCAGGGGUGAAAGCCUGUGGCUCAACCACAGAAUUGCCUUUGAUACUGAGGGCCUUGAGACCGGAAGAGGUCGGCGGAACUGCGAGUGUAGAGGUGAAAUUCGUAGAUAUUCGCAAGAACACCAGUGGCGAAGGCGGCCGACUGGUCCGGUUCUGACGCUGAGGCGCGAAAGCGUGGGGAGCAAACAGG